rfam:BtRf-AlphaCoV/YN2012, complete genome.
AAGUGUCGUGCUCCUAGGGGUUGCACUUGACGUGUUCCGUCACGUACUUGUGUCCUUAGUGGCCCCACGCUGUUCUGUCAGUGUGGUGUGUGGAUAUAGUGUUCCGUCACUAUUGAAACCGAUAACUGUGCACAAUGUCUAUCAACCAAUUGACACUUGCAG